GACUACGUGCCUCAGCGCUGUGUAAUAGGUGUCUCGUAGGACACUUUAUCCGAUGGCAGCGCCUCUUUAAGAAGUCUCUGUGACUGAACAUGCCUGCAAUCGAUAACGUGAUUAAAUAAAGAAACUCCUGCGGCGACUGCAAUAAGUCAAGGCAGGAAAAGUACUCAUUGGACUGGAGGGGGUCGCAAACUGGGUUUUAAACUUGCAUUGAUGCAGAUCCAAAAAUGUAUUAUCAUUACGUAACUAAAUACACACACACAUCCAUGGAAGUAAAUGGGAUUAUUGUUCUCGUUGCCUCAAAGUGAAGUCAUGUUUGAAGGGCAUAAUAUUUGACCGGGCAGAAUGAAAUGUGGAGCAGAUGAAAGUACCACAGGAGUGGAUGCUGCCUAAUGUUGGAUAUUGUUCCCAGGUAACAGUGGGAGAUCUCCAGAACCAAAGUGACUUCUUGUGAGAGCCUGGUCUGGGAGUGCCAGCUGACUACUUAGCCAUGGAACAAAUCACAGACAAGACCUCACUUGGCAUCCCCUCAAGCACAGAUCACACCAGUGAUCCUCUGGAUGUCAAUUAGGAGCGGGGAUCCUGACUGAUAUUAUUCCCUCCUGAGUCCAAGUGCUUUUAUGCCCACUGUAGCUCUCAACUUCUGCCCUGACUGAGGUCGGCUAAUUCAGCACAGACCAGGAAUCGAAUCUGCAACCUCUGGUCCGUGCGGCUCAGUAAAACUCAUUUCGUUUGUCACACUUCACUGCGUUUCAUGAUUUAGGGUUGUUGCACAACACUGCUGCUGGCACAGUUAAAAACAGAUGCUAAAGCAGUGCCUCCGCAAAGGGUCCUGUCAAGGAUCACUAUAAUGCCACAUAGAAGCUCAAUCAGUCAAACUGUAGAACACAAUGCUUUGUGCAAACCAUUUGCCACCAACAGUGAUUUUUGCCAACAAUUGUAGGUUUGAACAUGGAGCAAGACUAUAGAACUAAACUUUGCUGAACGGGCGAGUAAUAAAGUUUAUUCAGCUUAGAUCAAGAGUGUUAUGAGCUGAGCCAUUUGUCAGCUAGCCUCAUUCUUGCUUCUUGGUGGGAAGUUUGUGGUUUCAAGCACCACAUUGGGACUUGAGCUCAUAGUCCUGGUUGAACUAGUGCAGUACUGGUGGGGGAUGCAUUAUCAGGGAUGCCAUCCGUUGAAUGAGACAUUAAACUGAGGUACUGAGGUAUUGUUUCAGUUGGACGUUAAUAAUACUGUGACACUAUUGGAGAAAAGAAGGAAGCUUCUCCCCCCCGGCUAUCAGUGAACAAUCCACCAAAUAAAUCGGUCAUUCAUUUUGUGGCUGUAUGAGACCUUGCUGUGACAACUUGGUUGUCACAUUUGUCUACAGAUGCAGCCACAACAAUUCAGAGCAAUUAUUUGUGAAACCUUUUUCGAUGUUACAGGCACAAUACCAAGUGCAAAUAUUAUUAUGUAAGAUGGUGGCAGCAACGGUGUAGUCAGGUUUUGCUGGGUCCAUGGACAUAAAAGCGUCCGUGCAUUUGCUGAAAGGUGAUAACGGUGGUUGUUUAUGUGCUCCAAGAUGCCACUCGUGAAGGGAACUAUAUAAAUGCAUGUUGUUGCUAUCUGCAUUUGUUUUAAACUAGGAACUGUGAUAGUCAAAUCCAACAUCAAGAAAUGUGUGAGCCAGAACAGCCUGUAAAACAUAAGUACUACAGGAGAUCGACUGUACAGUGUCACACUGUGUAAAUCCUCCAGUUUCAGCAAAUCCCACAAGCGCCAGUAUCCUCUCAAACACCUACCUGGAUUCCUGACUUCUCUUUCCCAUAUCUUACUGUAAAAUUUCCCUUUUGCACAAUUGGAACUUAUUCACAUCCGCCCUGGGAGUAACUCAGUAAACACUUCACAUGGACUGCGGAGGCUGAGGUGGUGAGUAAGUGUUGCACCUCAGCCCAUUGGCAAAGCAAACGUUUCUCCAAGGAGCAGGAGGUAUGGAAAAUCUUUCAAAGUGUACGGCGCUGACAUUUCUGUUUCUAAAUCUGCCAAGACCAGUUGGUCACUUGACUGUUGUACAUUUUUAAAAAAAACAAUUUGUUCUCAACCCUACCCAAUGUAUGUACUAUUCAGUUUUGCCAGUCCUAUAUUGAAAAUAAUAUCACAGUAUUAUACAGUUGCUGCAACUAUUAGCAAUGGUUUUAUAAUGGGAAAUCGCAUUCACACAAUAAACUUUCACCAAGGAUUGAAUCCAA